AAUCAACGCUGGCGGCGUGCCUCAGACAUGCAAGUCGAACGCGAAAGCCCCCUUCGGGGGGCAAGUAGAGUGGCGCACGGGUGAGUAACACGUAGGUAAUCUACCUUUGGAUGGGGAAUAACCACCGGAAACGGUGGCUAAUACCGCAUAAUGCAGCGGCACCUAAUGGUGACAGUUGUUAAAGCGGGGGAUCGUAAGACCUCGCGUCUGAAGAGGAGCCUGCGGCAGAUUAGCUAGUUGGUAAGGUAACGGCUUACCAAGGCGAUGAUCUGUAGCCGGCCUGAGAGGGCGGUCGGCCACACUGACACUGACAUACGGGUCAGACUCCUACGGGAGGCAGCAGUCGGGAAUUUUGGGCAAUGGGCGAAAGCCUGACCCAGCAACGCCGCGUGAAGGAUGAAAUCCCUCGGGAUGUAAACUUCGCAAGAUCAGGAAGAAUAAGUAAGAGCUAACAUCUCUUAUGAUGACGGUACUGUUUGUAAGCUCCGGCUAACUCCGUGC
rnacentral:rRNA from 1 species